GGGAUUUUACUUGUCCUUUUUCCUCUAAGAAAUUCACUCACAAACACAAUAUUUCUUUGCUCAAAGGUGGGAAUCUUCAAUCACCUGAAUUUUCUUAGUCCCCUGAUGUAGUCCUGUACACUCAGCGUCUCAGAACUGAAGAUUCUUGAGCGGCAACUGAUGGUUUUACUAUUGACUCUCUUCAGAAAACCUUCUAAGGGAGGCACCACGCCCAGCAUGGAGCCCUCGUGGGGCCUGAACUCAUGACCAUGAGACCUAGACCUGAGGUGAGAUCCAGAGUUGAGCGCUUACCUGCCUGAGCCACC
rnacentral:lncRNA from 1 species